UACGUAGGGGGCUAGCGUUGUCCGGAAUCAUUGGGCGUAAAGCGCGUGUAGGCGGCCCGGUAAGUCCGUUGUGAAAGUCAAAGGCUCAACCUUUGAAAGCCGAUGGAUACUGCCGGGCUAGAGUCCGGAAGAGGCGAGUGGAAUUCCUGGUGUAGCGGUGGAAUGCGCAGAUAUCAGGAGGAACACCGAUAGCGAAGGCAGCUCGCUGGGACGGUACUGACGCUGAGGCGCGAAAGCGUGGGGAGCGAACAGG
rnacentral:rRNA from 1 species